GGGGCCUUAGCCCUGCAAAGAAGGGGUAGCUGGGGUGCCAACCUUGUUGGUUAGUGACCAGCACUGGCAGCUAAGGCUGUUGGGAAGUCUAGGCAUUGCAGCGGGCAGGCUCAUGGGUAGAGCAGGGGAAGGAACCAGGACAGGGCUGGGGACAGAAGGUGGUCACAGUCAUGGUUUCACUCUCAGAAAUAUCCUGGGCCUAUGGCUUAAGGCUUCGUGGAGCAGGG
rnacentral:lncRNA from 1 species